AAGUAGGGGAUCGCAAGACCUUGCGCUUUUGGAGCGGCCGAUGCCUGAUUAGCUAGUUGGUGGGGUAAUGGCCUACCAAGGCGACGAUCAGUAGUUGGUCUGAGAGGACGACCAGCCACACUGGGACUGAGACACGGCCCAGACUCCUACGGGAGGCAGCAGUGGGGAAUUUUGGACAAUGGGCGAAAGCCUGAUCCAGCAAUGCCGCGUGAGUGAAGAAGGCCUUCGGGUUGUAAAGCUCUUUCAGUCGAGAAGAAAAGGUUGCGACUAAUAAUCGCAACUUAUGACGGUAUCGACAGAAGAAGCACCGGCUAACUACGUGCCAGCAGCCGCGGUAAUACGUAGGGUGCGAGCGUUAAUCGGAAUUACUGGGCGUAAAGGGUGCGCAGGCGGCUCUGUAAGUCAGAUGUGAAAUCCCCGGGCUUAACCUGGGAAUUGCGUUUGAAACUACAAAGCUAGAGU
rnacentral:rRNA from 1 species